GGCCUCGUAGCUCAGCUGGUAGGGCGUGCACGUUCAAAGCUUAGGAGGCGUCCAUGCACGGGUUCGAGUCCCACCGAGGCUA
rnacentral:tRNA from 1 species